rnacentral:lncRNA from 1 species
CAUAGAAAAAAAAAAAAAGUAAAGAUCAGCAGACAAGAGGAAAAGUAACUGAGCUGUUUCCUGUGCCUGCCCCUGAGAGCUGAUGGCUUCCCAGAGAUGCCUCACAGUCCUGCGCAGACAGAGAGAAUGCAGAAGCUGGCAAAGGAUCCUCCACACGCAAGAUCAGAGGACGUCCCAGAUCAUCUUUUCUUUGUGGAUACUGCAGCCAGGUGUACAGUAAGGAGCAGACAACAUGGCACUGGCCAAGUGGAAAGGCUGUUUGCAUAAUAAGAUUACGAUGGGGUGGCCUGCCUUCCCUGUGUGCUACGUAAACAUCACACCUGAUCCAACCAAUCUGCAGGCCCUACAUAAAUCAGACACCGCCUCCUCCAGCCUGCCUAUAAAAUCUGGUACACUCCACGUGGGCCAGAAGUCCCAUUUGGAUGCCCCUCUCUUUCGCAAGAGAGAGAGCUGUUCUCCUUUCUCUUUCUUUUGCCUAUUACAUUCCGCUCCUAAAGUCACUUCUCAUGUAUGUCCACGUCCUUAAUCUUCUUGAUGCAAGACAAUGAACCCGGGUAUUUACCCCAGACAACAACACCACUUCACUAGGAGUUAAAAGAACUUGAAAUGCAAAUUCAUGGUCAUCUGGUUCCAAAGCCCAUAUUAACAAAAUUUUUUUAAUUGUGAUAAAAUACACAUAACAUAAAGUUGACCGUGUUAACUGUUUUUAAAUGUACAGUCCAGUAGUGUUAAGUACAUUCACAUUGUUGGGCAAUCCUUCUUCAGAACUUUUUAAGUUUCCCAAACUGAAGCUCUGCGUCUAUUAAGAACAACUCUUUCUUCCAAUCCCCAGCUGUUGGCAACUAUCAUUCUACUUUCUGUCUUUAUGCAUUUAAUAAUUCUACGUACCUCAUAUAAAUGAAAUCAAAUGGUAUUUGUAACUGGCUUAUUUCACUUAGCAUAAUAUCCUCAAGAUUCAGUCAUAUUGUUAUAUGUGUCAUAAAUUGCAUUUGUAAUAUCACAAACUACACCUUGAUAUAUUGUCUACUGAUUAGCAUGGAUUUAUAAUUAUUUUUAUGCUUUGCCUUCUACAUUCUAUAAAAGAAUAAAAAGUUGAGUUAAAAACCAAAAUUAUAAUAAUGAAA